rnacentral:tRNA from 1 species
GGGUCGGUGCCCGAGUGGCCAAAGGGAGCAGGCUGUAAACCUGCCGGCGCAAGCCUACGGAGGUUCAAAUCCUUCCCGGCCCACCA